rnacentral:rRNA from 1 species
GACGGACGCUGGCGGCGUGCUUAACACAUGCAAGUCGAACGGAAAGGCCCUGCUUUUGCGGGGUGCUCGAGUGGCGAACGGGUGAGUAACACGUGAGUAACCUGCCCUUGACUUUGGGAUAACUUCAGGAAACUGGGGCUAAUACCGGAUAGGAGCUCCUGCUGCAUGGUGGGGGUUGGAAAGUUUCGGCGGUUGGGGAUGGACUCGCGGCUUAUCAGCUUGUUGGUGGGGUAGUGGCUUACCAAGGCUUUGACGGGCAGCCGGCCUGAGAGGGUGACCGGCCACAUUGGGACUGAGAUACGGCCCAGACUCCUACGGGAGGCAGCAGUGGGGAAUAUUGCACAAUGGGCGGAAGCCUGAUGCAGCAACGCCGCGUGCGGGAUGACGGCCUUCGGGUUGUAAACCGCUUUCGCCUGUGACGAAGCGUGAGUGACGGUAAUGGGUAAAGAAGCACCGGCUAACUACGUG